rnacentral:rRNA from 1 species
AACGAACGCUGGCGGCAUGCCUAACACAUGCAAGUCGAACGAGACCUUCGGGUCUAGUGGCGCACGGGUGCGUAACGCGUGGGAACCUGCCCUUAGGUUCGGAAUAACUCCCCGAAAGGGGUGCUAAUACCGGAUAAUGUCUUCGGACCAAAGAUUUAUCGCCUUUGGAUGGGCCCGCGUUGGAUUAGCUAGUUGGUAGGGUAAAAGCCUACCAAGGCGACGAUCCAUAGCUGGUCUGAGGGGAUGAUCAGCCACACUGGGACUGAGACACGGCCCAGACUCCUACGGGAGGCAGCAGUGGGGAAUAGUGGACAGUGGGCGAAAGCCUGAUCCAGCAAUGCCGCGUGAGUGAUGAAGGCCUUAGGGUUGUAAAGCUCUUUUACCCGGGAUGAUAAUGACAGUACCGGGAGAAUAAGCUCCGGCUAACUCCGUG